rnacentral:lncRNA from 1 species
UUUUUUUUUUUUAUUUUAAUUAUUUUUGAGACAGAGUAUCCCUCUGUUGCCCACGCUAAAGUGCAGUAGCCCAGUCUUGGCUCACUGCAACCUCCAUCUCCCAGGUUCAAGUAAUUCUUCCUGCCUCAGCCUCCCAAGUAGCUGGGAUUACAGGUGUCUGCCACCACCCCCAGCUAAUUUUUUGUGUUUUUAAUAGAGACAGGGUUUCACCAUGUUGGCCAGGCUGGUUUUAAACUCUUGACCUCAAGUGAUCCGCCUGUCUCAGCCUCCCAAAGUGUUGGGAUUACAGGCGUGAGCCAGCACGCCUGGCCUUUCCUGCCAUUUCUAUGCCUGCUUCUAGAUUAAACUAGACCAGGUGAAGGCUCCUCACCCGUAUACCAGGUGAAAGGCCAGGGGCUUCUCCCCACACCCUGGUUUGCAUCGAUUUGGAAUGUUGAGCCCAGAUCCAAUCACUACUCAUCUGUACAUAUCCUAUCUGUCAUCACACAUGUCCUAUGUAUCUGGAAACAAUUACAUGACUGAUCCAGAGUUUCAGGUAUGCAUCAGAUGUGUGCUUUCCAAAUGCCUGCAUCUCAAAGACUAGGAAGGCAAUGAGAACAGUCUUCUGAGGGUGUAAAAAGAGGGACCUAGGCUGGGGCAAUGGGCCUGAGGGGACUAUAUAGAUGAGUCUUCCUUGCUGUGUUUCUGUAGUUUUGACUUGGCCAGAAAUGUUUUCCAUCUGAAUGAGAAAAACCGUAUAUUUGCAUAACCAAAACAUUGGUGCAAUAUGUUAAGCAGAGGCCUCCUCGACCUACUGGCCAGUUGUGGUUGCCACUAUGCCCGAAACUCAGAAGUGGUUGCUUAGGUUGUUGACCACACCAACCUGUGAAGCCCUCAGGGCACCCAAGAGUAUUGCAAAACAGAGAGGAGGGGUGAUGGAGAUUUCCCAGGCUUCUAGCCUUACUGCCACCCAGUGAUAGAAGAGUAAGUAGCAAAGGAAAAUCUUUUUUCACCACUCAAUGCCUGGCAGUCGUCAUCUCCUUGCUCUGAGAUCUAGGAUGCCUCAGGGUACCUAGGCUGGAGGAGGUGGCAGCUACAGUUCAUUGUCAUCGAUUGAUUCUUUCAUUCUUAAGAAGUAUCUGUUGACUAUCUACUCAGUUCCAAGCACUUUUCUUGAUGCUGGACAGCAUCAAGGACAAAACUUCUCCUUCACUCCAUCCACUCCCUCUGUCACUUGGAGGAUGGACAACAAAUACAUAAAUACAGAAAUCGAAUAAGACAAAUGCAAUGGUGAAAAGAAACCCAUGCAUAUGACAUGAUACUUGUGAUGGUUCAGGGGUAGGGAGCAGGGUUACUUUACCCAUUACUUUAGUAGAUGACAGUUGAGCAGCCAUGGGA